rnacentral:rRNA from 1 species
UGUUAUCUGCCCAGUGAAAAUUUUAAACGGCCGCAGUACCUUGACUGUGCAAAGGUAGCAUAAUCACUUGACUUUUAAUUGGAGCCUAGUAUGAAAGAGAGAACGUAGACAACUUGUCUCAUUAACAAUAUUUUAAAAUUGCUGUAGGAGUGAAAAUACUCCUAAUAAUUAAAAAUAGACGAGAAGACCCUUAGAAUUUUAAAAAUAUAACUGAAAUAUCUGUUAAGAUUUUUUGUUGGGGCAACAAUAUUUCAAAAUAAAAUAAAUAUACAAGUGAGUAGAUAAGUCGAUUUAAUAAUUAUAGAAAAAUUACCUAAGGGAUAACAGCAUAAUUUUAAUUAAUAAGUUUGUGACCUCGAUGUUGGACUAGGUACUAUUAAGGCUAAUCGUUUUAAUAUAAUAUGUUCUGUUCGAACUUUAUUACCUACAUGAUCUGAGUUCAAACCGGAGCUC